rnacentral:rRNA from 1 species
GAUGAACGCUGGCGGCGUGCCUAAUACAUGCAAGUCGAGCGAAGCGGGGACGGGUGAGUAACACGUGGAUAACCUCCUAUAAGACCGGGAUAACUUAGGGAAACCGGAGCUAAAACGGAUACUUAUAGAUGGAUCCGGGGUGCAUUAGCUAGUUGGUAAGGUAACGGCUUACCAAGGCAACGAGGCAUAGCCUACCUGAGAGGGGGAUCGGCCACACUGGAACUGAGAAACGGUCCCAACUCCUACGGGAGGCAGCAGUGGGGAAUAUUGCACAAUGGGCGCAAGCCGGAUGCAGCCAUGCCGCGUGUGUGAAGAAGGCCUUCGGGUUGUAAAGCACUUUCAGCGAGGAGGCGUUACUCGCAGAAGAAGCACCGGCUAACUCCGUGCCAGCAGCCGCGGUAAUUC